GCCAGGUUGGCCGAGUGGUCUAAGGCGCCAGAUUUAAGCUCUGGUCCCGAAUGGGAACGUGGGUUCGAACCCCACACCUGGCA
rnacentral:tRNA from 1 species